AGUGCAGUACCCCUGCCCUAUCAGCUGACGCAGUGUAUUGCCGUUGGGAAUAUACGAGUAUAUGGGAGCAUUGUCUCCUUCGCAGCCAUAUCUUACAUCCAAGCAUACAUAUAUGUAUAUAUACAAGGGUGUGUAUCAGUUGAGCGAAAAACACACAUUUUCUGAAACCCCAAGAUUUGGUCUUCGAAAACAUUCAGUGUCAGGCAGCUGUUUGCGGUGGAAAACUUUCCAUUAAAAACAAGGUCUUGCCUUAGCUCGUUUUUGUGCCCCCAUGUCACACUUAUUUACAAACAAGCUGUUCUAUAUUUUAAAACUUUGAUUUUCGCAGUCAUUGCAACAACAGUCGUUCAAAAGCUCACCAGAAAAGAGAAAAUAAAAUAGUCUGUAGUAAUGUGUUUUGCACUGCUUUUACUCAAAAUGUAUUUAUGUAUCUCAAUGGAAUUCUUAAUUUUCAGGGUGCUAGUAUAUAGACAUUUAUAUUAUAACAGCAUAUACAUAAGUAAAAUGAUGUAAAAUGCUACCGAACAAAGUGAAGCGACAGAUCCGUGAAGUGAGAUACAUAUGUACCAAUAUAUAUUAUAUUAAGUUCUUA